rnacentral:rRNA from 1 species
UCCUAUAAUGCAAGUCGAGCGGACAGAAGGGAGCUUGCUCCCGGAUGUUAGCGGCGGACGGGUGAGUAACACGUGGGUAACCUGCCUGUAAGACUGGGAUAACUCCGGGAAACCGGAGCUAAUACCGGAUAGUUCCUUGAACCGCAUGGUUCAAGGAUGAAAGACGGUUUCGGCUGUCACUUACAGAUGGACCCGCGGCGCAUUAGCUAGUUGGUGGGGUAAUGGCUCGCCAAGGCGACGAUGCGUAGCCGACCUGAGAGGGUGAUCGGCCACACUGGGACUGAGACACGGCCCAUACUCCUACGGGAGGCAGCAGUAGGGAAUCUUCCGCAAUGGACUAAAGUCUGACGGAACAACGCCGCGUGAGUGAUUAAUGUAUUCGGACCGCGGAUUAGUGUGUAUGCG